GCCAGCAUGGUGCAGUGGUUUCAGCACCAGAGUACAACUCUAGAGACCAGGGUUCAAAUCCCUGCUCAGCCA